rnacentral:rRNA from 1 species
UACGUAGGGGGCGAGCGUUGUCUGGAGUUACUGGGCGUAAAGGGCAUGCAGGCGGUCAGGCGCGUUUUGUGUGACAGCGCACGGCUUAACUGUGCGAGGAUGCGAAAGACGGCGUGACUUGAGAGCGCGAGAGGGACACGGAAUUCCGGGUGGAGUGGUGAAAUGCGUAGAGAUCCGGAGGAACACCGAAGGCGAAGGCAGUGUCCUGGCGCGUAUCUGACGCUGAGGUGCGAAAGCCAGGGGAG